UGUUCGACACGUGGUGUAGUUGCGAAGAAAGGAAGAAAACGGGAGCACAAAACGAAACAGAGAGAGGACACGGAGGAAAAGUAGAAGGAUUUGGGCUGGCACCUUCCUUGGAUCUUCGGAUCGAAAUCUUUGAAAGGUCAGCUUGUCACUCUUCGAGAUGUUUGAUUUGGGCUGAGGCAGUGGAUAGCUAUUCAGAAUAAUGGGCAAGUCUGGUUGGUUAUUACGAUAUUGUUGUAUAAGUAUGUCUUGUAUGUAAUGAAAUGUUGUCGAUGAACCGAAAUGGAUAUAUUGUGUCAAAGUGUUAGGAGAUCUCUCUUAUUUGGGAUUUCAGAAUGUUAAGUCUAAUUUAUGGUGAUAUGAACUUGUGGUUAAUAGUUGGAGUUCUGAUUGUAUAAUUUAUUUAGCUUGUGGAUUUAUAAAUAUUGUUCAUGUUUGUCAAGUUGGCUUGGGUUGCCAUAAAUGUGAAUUAUCGAGUGAUGUGAUAUAUGAUUAUAAACUGCACAGGUUUUAUGGAUGUGAAUAUGAAUAGAAUGUUUUCAGUGUCCUCAAACGUUAGUUUGGAUCCUGGAUUGGUCUGUGACGAAAAUUUUAAAAAUCAUGGAUAUUUUGAGGGGCGUGACAGAGGUGGUAUCAGAGCAUUAUUUGAGGAUUACUGAAAUAUUUGAUAUGUUGACGUGCAAAAUAUAUUGAGGUCUAAUGAACUAUAGUGAUUGGUGGAAAUUUUCUUUGAUGUAUUUUAGGAAUCUGGGAUGAUGAGGACAUUUGGUCCUCCUAUUUCAUUGUUUCUGAUUAAUUAAGGGGAAUGAAAGGAUUGAUUGGGGAUAUUGAAUCAGAGUGGCGUAGCGGAAGCAUGGUGGACCUAAUUUCAUUGGUGGUAGAAAAAUGAAUGAUGCAAACAGAGAAGAUAUUUGAUGUACAAAAUUGUUUUGAUGAUCAAAAGAUUUCUUUUGCCACCUUAUAUUGGAAGUAGAGGCUGAUUAUUAUUGGCAACAAUGAAAAGAAUUUUUGGAGAUCAGUGACAAGAAUGAUAAGGACAAGUUUACCAAUAAGAAUAUGAUUGGAAAUGAAUCAGAAAGUAAUGACAAGAGGGUCAAGACAUUUGGAUUUGAAAAGGAAAGUCACCACCAAAGACUUAAUCAUGUGUGAAUUACAAGUUAAAUUAUGAAACAAGUUUGUGCUUUCGGGUGAUUGGAGUCUAUUUUGCUUGUAGAAAGUUGGAUCAUAAAAUAAAAGUUUGCCCUUUGAACAAGAAGAAAGAGUCACUGCCUCCUAAAUCAUCAGCCCAUGUAAGAGUGUAUGCUAUCACUGAAUAUGAUUCUGAAACUUCUGAAUUAGUGGCCAAAGGUAUUAUGCAUGUUUAUGAAAGAAUGCAAAUAUUUGUUCGAUCAUGGGUCCAAUCUACGAUUUGAUUCGUAAUAUUUUGCUUAUCACUUAGGUAUUCAACCUAGACCACUACAUUAUGUGCUAUAAGUAAAUACGAUCAUUGGAGAUUCUUUGAUAACGAAGUUGAAUCUGGUCCUCUUGUCUGAUUCUUAUUGGAGAACUUGAAUUUAUGCUGAUUUAGUUCUCCUAGAGAUUUGGAGUUAUGAUAUUAUACUUGGUAUGGAUUGGCCAUCUUCUUAUCAUACCAGUAUGGAUUGAUAUAUAACAAAUGAUCACUUUUUGUAUAUUUGAUCAGUCGAUCUUUUACUUUGAGAGUAUGGGACAUGAUUUAUCUCCUUGCCUAAUGUAUCCAGGAUGACUUGCUUGGAUUACCUCCAAAUGUGACUUUGCUUUUGAUUUGGUCCUUGGGAUAAUCCCAAUAUCUAAGCCUCUCUACAGAAAGAUAUCAUUUGAGUAAGUGGAAUUGGAAAAGCAACUACAAGGAUUGUUAAAUGAGGAUUUUAUUUGGCUUAAUAUUUCAUCAUGGGGUGCUCCGGUGUUAGUUAAAAGAAAUGUAUGGAACAUUGAGGCUUUGUAAUGAUUAUAGACAAUUGAAUUAGGUGACCAUCAAAAACGAGUAUUUUCUGAAGUAACGACUUGCUCGAUUAAUUACAGGGUACGCAAGUAUUUUUAGAAAUUGAUUGAAGGUCGGGUUACCGUCUAUUGAGAAUCAAGGAGGAGAAUAUUUCGGUCACUCGUGGAUAAUUAUGUAAUUGUAUUGUAUUGAUGAAACUAUUUAAGAGUAGGAGGAGGAAAUAAAGAUAUCAUAAUCUUCAUCUUUUCAUCGAUUGAGCUAUGAUCAAUUUAGAGGACUAAAUUUUCUUUUAAGGGGGGGAGAGUGUAAUAUCCCUCGCUUUUAAAAAUUAUUAAUAAAGAUUUAUAUGUAAAUUGGAGGACCUAUAUGUAAAUAUAGAAAUUACAAGGACUAAACUGCUAAGUUGCAAAAAAAAAAGAAAAAGGAAAAGGGAAGAGGAGAAGAAGAGAAGGAGAAGAAGAGGGAAAAGAGAGGCAGCUGCAGCAGCCAGGGCUGCAGCACCUCUGUUUCCCGCAGGUGGAAACAGAGGAGAGGAUGUGUGGGGCGUUGAGGAUGAAAAGGGAAGAAGAAGAAGAAGAAGAAGAAGAAGAAGAAGAAGAAGAAGAAGAUAGCUGCGGCAAGGCUGCAGCGAGGAGAUGUGUGGCCUUGGGGAGGAAAAGGGAAGAGGGGAAGAGGAGAAGAAGAAGAAGAGGAAGAGAAAGAGGUGUGAUACCUCUGUUUCCUGCAGAGGAAACAGAGGAGAGGGUGUGUGUGACGCCGGGGAAGAAGGGGCUGCAGCUGCCGCGAUGGCAGCUGCAGCUGGAAGAGAAGAAGAAGAGGAAGAUGAGCAGGGGAGGAGGGAGAGGUUGCGGCCGUGGCUGCGGCCGCGACUGCAGCAGUUGCAGCGGGGAGAGAAGAAGAAGAAAGGAAGGAGAAGGAAGAGGAGAAGGGAAAGAAGUAGCUGCGGCUGCGGUUGUGGCAGCUGCAGCUAUGGCAGGGAAAGAGGAAGAGAAAAAGGAAAGGAAGAAGAGAGAAAGGGAAGGAGAGGAAGAAGAGAGGAAGAGGAGAAGGGGUUGCGUCUACGGCGAUGGCAGCUGCAGCUGUGGCAGGGAAAGAGAAAAAGGAAAGGAAGAAGAAGAGAAAGGGAAGGAGAGGAAGAAGAGAGGAAGAGGAGAAGGGGCUGCGGCUGCGGUGAUGGCAGCUGCAGCUGUGGCUGGGAAAGAAGAGAAGGAAAGGAAGAAGAAGAGAAAGGGAAGGAGAGGAAGAAGAGAGGAAGAGGAGAAGGGGUGGCAGCUGCGGCGAUGGCAGCUGCAGUUGGAAGAGAAGAAGGAGAGGAAGAUGAGCAGGGGAGGAAGAAGAGGCUGCGAGUGUGGUGGCUGCGGCCGUGGCUGCGACUCCGGCUGCGGCUGCAACGUUGGCUGCGGUAGCUGCGGCAGCGGUGGUGGCUGCAGUAGCUGCAGUAGCUGCUUUUGGGAAAGAGAAAGAGUAGGAAUGAGAGAAGGGAAGAAGGAAAUAGUGCAGUGGAAGGGGGCUGUGGUUGUGACCGCAGUUGCGGUCGUGGCUGCGAUUGUGGCAGCGGCAGCGGCGGCGGCUGUGGCAGCUGUGUUUGGGAAAGAAAAAAAGAAGGAAUGAGAGUAAGAGAGAGCAGGUGACUGUGCCUCGAUGUUCGACACGUGGUGUAGUUGCGAAGAAAGGAAGAAAACGGGAGCACAAAACGAAACAGAGAGAGGACACGGAGGAAAAGUAGAAGGAUUUGGGCUGGCACCUUCCUUGGAUCUUCGGAUCGAAAUCUUUGAAAGGUCAGCUUGUCACUCUUCGAGAUGUUUGAUUUGGGCUGAGGCAGUGGAUAGCUAUUCAGAAUAAUGGGCAAGUCUGGUUGGUUAUUACGAUAUUGUUGUAUAAGUAUGUCUUGUAUGUAAUGAAAUGUUGUCGAUGAACCGAAAUGGAUAUACUGUGUCAAAGUGUUAGGAGAUCUCUCUUAUUUGGGAUUUCAGAAUGUUAAGUCUAAUUUAUGGUGAUAUGAACUUGUGGUGAAUAGUUGGAGUUCUGAUUGUAUAAUUUAUUUAGCUUGUGGAUUUAUAAAUAUUGUUCAUGUUUGUCAAGUUGGCUUGGGUUGCCAUAAAUGUGAAUUAUCGAGUGAUGUGAUAUAUGAUUAUAAACUGCACAGGUUUUAUGGAUGUGAAUAUGAAUAGAAUGUUUUCAGUGUCCUCAAACGUUAGUUUGGAUCCUGGAUUGGUCUGUGACGAAAAUUUUAAAAAUCAUGGAUAUUUUGAGGGGCGUGACAGAGGUGGUAUCAGAGCAUUAUUUGAGGAUUACUGAAAUAUUUGAUAUGUUGACGUGCAAAAUAUAUUGAGGUCUAAUGAACUAUAGUGAUUGGUGGAAAUUUUCUUUGAUGUAUUUUAGGAAUCUGGGAUGAUGAGGACAUUUGGUCCUCCUAUUUCAUUGUUUCUGAUUAAUUAAGGGGAAUGAAAGGAUUGAUUGGGGAUAUUGAAUCAGAGUGGCGUAGCGGAAGCAUGGUGGACCUAAUUUCAUUGGUGGUAGAAAAAUGAAUGAUGCAAACAGAGAAGAUAUUUGAUGUACAAAAUUGUUUUGAUGAUCAAAAGAUUUCUUUUGCCACCUUAUAUUGGAAGUAGAGGCUGAUUAUUAUUGGCAACAAUGAAAAGAAUUUUUGGAGAUCAGUGACAAGAAUGAUAAGGACAAGUUUACCAAUAAGAAUAUGAUUGGAAAUGAAUCAGAAAGUAAUGACAAGAGGGUCAAGACAUUUGGAUUUGAAAAGGAAAGUCACCACCAAAGACUUAAUCAUGUGUGAAUUACAAGUUAAAUUAUGAAACAAGUUUGUGCUUUCGGGUGAUUGGAGUCUAUUUUGCUUGUAGAAAGUUGGAUCAUAAAAUAAAAGUUUGCCCUUUGAACAAGAAGAAAGAGUCACUGCCUCCUAAAUCAUCAGCCCAUGUAAGAGUGUAUGCUAUCACUGAAUAUGAUUCUGAAACUUCUGAAUUAGUGGCCAAAGGUAUUAUGCAUGUUUAUGAAAGAAUGCAAAUAUUUGUUCGAUCAUGGGUCCAAUCUACGAUUUGAUUCGUAAUAUUUUGCUUAUCACUUAGGUAUUCAACCUAGACCACUACAUUAUGUGCUAUAAGUAAAUACGAUCAUUGGAGAUUCUUUGAUAACGAAGUUGAAUCUGGUCCUCUUGUCUGAUUCUUAUUGGAGAACUUGAAUUUAUGCUGAUUUAGUUCUCCUAGAGAUUUGGAGUUAUGAUAUUAUACUUGGUAUGGAUUGGCCAUCUUCUUAUCAUACCAGUAUGGAUUGAUAUAUAACAAAUGAUCACUUUUUGUAUAUUUGAUCAGUCGAUCUUUUACUUUGAGAGUAUGGGACAUGAUUUAUCUCCUUGCCUAAUGUAUCCAGGAUGACUUGCUUGGAUUACCUCCAAAUGUGACUUUGCUUUUGAUUUGGUCCUUGGGAUAAUCCCAAUAUCUAAGCCUCUCUACAGAAAGAUAUCAUUUGAGUAAGUGGAAUUGGAAAAGCAACUACAAGGAUUGUUAAAUGAGGAUUUUAUUUGGCUUAAUAUUUCAUCAUGGGGUGCUCCGGUGUUAGUUAAAAGAAAUGUAUGGAACAUUGAGGCUUUGUAAUGAUUAUAGACAAUUGAAUUAGGUGACCAUCAAAAACGAGUAUUUUCUGAAGUAACGACUUGCUCGAUUAAUUACAGGGUACGCAAGUAUUUUUAGAAAUUGAUUGAAGGUCGGGUUACCGUCUAUUGAGAAUCAAGGAGGAGAAUAUUUCGGUCACUCGUGGAUAAUUAUGUAAUUGUAUUGUAUUGAUGAAACUAUUUAAGAGUAGGAGGAGGAAAUAAAGAUAUCAUAAUCUUCAUCUUUUCAUCGAUUGAGCUAUGAUCAAUUUAGAGGACUAAAUUUUCUUUUAAGGGGGGGAGAGUGUAAUAUCCCUCGCUUUUAAAAAUUAUUAAUAAAGAUUUAUAUGUAAAUUGGAGGACCUAUAUGUAAAUAUAGAAAUUACAAGGACUAAACUGCUAAGUUGCAAAAAAAAAAGAAAAAGGAAAAGGGAAGAGGAGAAGAAGAGAAGGAGAAGAAGAGGGAAAAGAGAGGCAGCUGCAGCAGCCAGGGCUGCAGCACCUCUGUUUCCCGCAGGUGGAAACAGAGGAGAGGAUGUGUGGGGCGUUGAGGAUGAAAAGGGAAGAAGAAGAAGAAGAAGAAGAAGAAGAAGAAGAAGAAGAAGAAGAAGAAGAAGAAGAUAGCUGCGGCAAGGCUGCAGCGAGGAGAUGUGUGGCCUUGGGGAGGAAAAGGGAAGAGGGGAAGAGGAGAAGAAGAAGAAGAGGAAGAGAAAGAGGUGUGAUACCUCUGUUUCCUGCAGAGGAAACAGAGGAGAGGGUGUGUGUGAUGCCGGGGAAGAAGGGGCUGCAGCUGCCGCGAUGGCAGCUGCAGCUGGAAGAGAAGAAGAAGAGGAAGAUGAGCAGGGGAGGAGGGAGAGGUUGCGGCCGUGGCUGCGGCCGCGACUGCAGCAGUUGCAGCGGGGAGAGAAGAAGAAGAAAGGAAGGAGAAGGAAGAGGAGAAGGGAAAGAAGUAGCUGCGGCUGCGGUUGUGGCAGCUGCAGCUAUGGCAGGGAAAGAGGAAGAGAAAAAGGAAAGGAAGAAGAGAGAAAGGGAAGGAGAGGAAGAAGAGAGGAAGAGGAGAAGGGGUUGCGGCUACGGCGAUGGCAGCUGCAGCUGUGGCAGGGAAAGAGAAAAAGGAAAGGAAGAAGAAGAGAAAGGGAAGGAGAGGAAGAAGAGAGGAAGAGGAGAAGGGGCUGCGGCUGCGGUGAUGGCAGCUGCAGCUGUGGCUGGGAAAGAAGAGAAGGAAAGGAAGAAGAAGAGAAAGGGAAGGAGAGGAAGAAGAGAGGAAGAGGAGAAGGGGUGGCAGCUGCGGCGAUGGCAGCUGCAGUUGGAAGAGAAGAAGGAGAGGAAGAUGAGCAGGGGAGGAAGAAGAGGCUGCGAGUGUGGUGGCUGCGGCCGUGGCUGCGACUCCGGCUGCGGCUGCAACGUUGGCUGCGGUAGCUGCGGCAGCGGUGGUGGCUGCAGUAGCUGCAGUAGCUGCUUUUGGGAAAGAGAAAGAGUAGGAAUGAGAGAAGGGAAGAAGGAAAUAGUGCAGUGGAAGGGGGCUGUGGUUGUGACCGCAGUUGCGGUCGUGGCUGCGAUUGUGGCAGCGGCAGCGGCGGCGGCUGUGGCAGCUGUGUUUGGGAAAGAAAAAAAGAAGGAAUGAGAGUAAGAGAGAGCAGGUGACUGUGCCUCGAUGUUCGACACGUGGUGUAGUUGCGAAGAAAGGAAGAAAACGGGAGCACAAAACGAAACAGAGAGAGGACACGGAGGAAAAGUAGAAGGAUUUGGGCUGGCACCUUCCUUGGAUCUUCGGAUCGAAAUCUUUGAAAGGUCAGCUUGUCACUCUUCGAGAUGUUUGAUUUGGGCUGAGGCAGUGGAUAGCUAUUCAGAAUAAUGGGCAAGUCUGGUUGGUUAUUACGAUAUUGUUGUAUAAGUAUGUCUUGUAUGUAAUGAAAUGUUGUCGAUGAACCGAAAUGGAUAUACUGUGUCAAAGUGUUAGGAGAUCUCUCUUAUUUGGGAUUUCAGAAUGUUAAGUCUAAUUUAUGGUGAUAUGAACUUGUGGUGAAUAGUUGGAGUUCUGAUUGUAUAAUUUAUUUAGCUUGUGGAUUUAUAAAUAUUGUUCAUGUUUGUCAAGUUGGCUUGGGUUGCCAUAAAUGUGAAUUAUCGAGUGAUGUGAUAUAUGAUUAUAAACUGCACAGGUUUUAUGGAUGUGAAUAUGAAUAGAAUGUUUUCAGUGUCCUCAAACGUUAGUUUGGAUCCUGGAUUGGUCUGUGACGAAAAUUUUAAAAAUCAUGGAUAUUUUGAGGGGCGUGACAGAGGUGGUAUCAGAGCAUUAUUUGAGGAUUACUGAAAUAUUUGAUAUGUUGACGUGCAAAAUAUAUUGAGGUCUAAUGAACUAUAGUGAUUGGUGGAAAUUUUCUUUGAUGUAUUUUAGGAAUCUGGGAUGAUGAGGACAUUUGGUCCUCCUAUUUCAUUGUUUCUGAUUAAUUAAGGGGAAUGAAAGGAUUGAUUGGGGAUAUUGAAUCAGAGUGGCGUAGCGGAAGCAUGGUGGACCUAAUUUCAUUGGUGGUAGAAAAAUGAAUGAUGCAAACAGAGAAGAUAUUUGAUGUACAAAAUUGUUUUGAUGAUCAAAAGAUUUCUUUUGCCACCUUAUAUUGGAAGUAGAGGCUGAUUAUUAUUGGCAACAAUGAAAAGAAUUUUUGGAGAUCAGUGACAAGAAUGAUAAGGACAAGUUUACCAAUAAGAAUAUGAUUGGAAAUGAAUCAGAAAGUAAUGACAAGAGGGUCAAGACAUUUGGAUUUGAAAAGGAAAGUCACCACCAAAGACUUAAUCAUGUGUGAAUUACAAGUUAAAUUAUGAAACAAGUUUGUGCUUUCGGGUGAUUGGAGUCUAUUUUGCUUGUAGAAAGUUGGAUCAUAAAAUAAAAGUUUGCCCUUUGAACAAGAAGAAAGAGUCACUGCCUCCUAAAUCAUCAGCCCAUGUAAGAGUGUAUGCUAUCACUGAAUAUGAUUCUGAAACUUCUGAAUUAGUGGCCAAAGGUAUUAUGCAUGUUUAUGAAAGAAUGCAAAUAUUUGUUCGAUCAUGGGUCCAAUCUACGAUUUGAUUCGUAAUAUUUUGCUUAUCACUUGGGUAUUCAACCUAGACCACUACAUUAUGUGCUAUAAGUAAAUACGAUCAUUGGAGAUUCUUUGAUAACGAAGUUGAAUCUGGUCCUCUUGUCUGAUUCUUAUUGGAGAACUUGAAUUUAUGCUGAUUUAGUUCUCCUAGAGAUUUGGAGUUAUGAUAUUAUACUUGGUAUGGAUUGGCCAUCUUCUUAUCAUACCAGUAUGGAUUGAUAUAUAACAAAUGAUCACUUUUUGUAUAUUUGAUCAGUCGAUCUUUUACUUUGAGAGUAUGGGACAUGAUUUAUCUCCUUGCCUAAUGUAUCCAGGAUGACUUGCUUGGAUUACCUCCAAAUGUGACUUUGCUUUUGAUUUGGUCCUUGGGAUAAUCCCAAUAUCUAAGCCUCUCUACAGAAAGAUAUCAUUUGAGUAAGUGGAAUUGGAAAAGCAACUACAAGGAUUGUUAAAUGAGGAUUUUAUUUGGCUUAAUAUUUCAUCAUGGGGUGCUCCGGUGUUAGUUAAAAGAAAUGUAUGGAACAUUGAGGCUUUGUAAUGAUUAUAGACAGUUGAAUUAGGUGACCAUCAAAAACGAGUAUUUUCUGAAGUAACGACUUGCUCGAUUAAUUACAGGGUACGCAAGUAUUUUUAGAAAUUGAUUGAAGGUCGGGUUACCGUCUAUUGAGGAUCAAGGAGGAGAAUAUUUCGGUCACUCGUGGAUAAUUAUGUAAUUGUAUUGUAUUGAUGAAACUAUUUAAGAGUAGGAGGAGGAAAUAAAGAUAUCAUAAUCUUCAUCUUUUCAUCGAUUGAGCUAUGAUCAAUUUAGAGGACUAAAUUUUCUUUUAAGGGGGGGAGAGUGUAAUAUCCCUCGCUUUUAAAAAUUAUUAAUAAAGAUUUAUAUGUAAAUUGGAGGACCUAUAUGUAAAUAUAGAAAUUACAAGGACUAAACUGCUAAGUUGCAAAAAAAAAAGAAAAAGGAAAAGGGAAGAGGAGAAGAAGAGAAGGAGAAGAAGAGGGAAAAGAGAGGCAGCUGCAGCAGCCAGGGCUGCAGCACCUCUGUUUCCCGCAGGUGGAAACAGAGGAGAGGAUGUGUGGGGCGUUGAGGAUGAAAAGGGAAGAAGAAGAAGAAGAAGAAGAAGAAGAUAGCUGCGGCAAGGCUGCAGCGAGGAGAUGUGUGGCCUUGGGGAGGAAAAGGGAAGAGGGGAAGAGGAGAAGAAGAAGAAGAGGAAGAGAAAGAGGUGUGAUACCUCUGUUUCCUGCAGAGGAAACAGAGGAGAGGGUGUGUGUGACGCCGGGGAAGAAGGGGCUGCAGCUGCGGCGAUGGCAGCUGCAGCUGGAAGAGAAGAAGAAGAGGAAGAUGAGCAGGGGAGGAGGGAGAGGUUGCGGCCGUGGCUGCGGCCGCGACUGCAGCAGUUGCAGCGGGGAGAGAAGAAGAAGAAAGGAAGGAGAAGGAAGAGGAGAAGGGAAAGAAGUAGCUGCGGCUGCGGUUGUGGCAGCUGCAGCUAUGGCAGGGAAAGAGGAAGAGAAAAAGGAAAGGAAGAAGAGAGAAAGGGAAGGAGAGGAAGAAGAGAGGAAGAGGAGAAGGGGUUGCGGCUACGGCGAUGGCAGCUGCAGCUGUGGCAGGGAAAGAGAAAAAGGAAAGGAAGAAGAAGAGAAAGGGAAGGAGAGGAAGAAGAGAGGAAGAGGAGAAGGGGCUGCGGCUGCGGUGAUGGCAGCUGCAGCUGUGGCUGGGAAAGAAGAGAAGGAAAGGAAGAAGAAGAGAAAGGGAAGGAGAGGAAGAAGAGAGGAAGAGGAGAAGGGGUGGCAGCUGCGGCGAUGGCAGCUGCAGUUGGAAGAGAAGAAGGAGAGGAAGAUGAGCAGGGGAGGAAGAAGAGGCUGCGAGUGUGGUGGCUGCGGCCGUGGCUGCGACUCCGGCUGCGGCUGCAACGUUGGCUGCGGUAGCUGCGGCAGCGGUGGUGGCUGCAGUAGCUGCAGUAGCUGCUUUUGGGAAAGAGAAAGAGUAGGAAUGAGAGAAGGGAAGAAGGAAAUAGUGCAGUGGAAGGGGGCUGUGGUUGUGACCGCAGUUGCGGUCGUGGCUGCGAUUGUGGCAGCGGCAGCGGCGGCGGCUGUGGCAGCUGUGUUUGGGAAAGAAAAAAAGAAGGAAUGAGAGUAAGAGAGAGCAGGUGACUGUGCCUCGAUGUUCGACACGUGGUGUAGUUGCGAAGAAAGGAAGAAAACGGGAGCACAAAACGAAACAGAGAGAGGACACGGAGGAAAAGUAGAAGGAUUUGGGCUGGCACCUUCCUUGGAUCUUCGGAUCGAAAUCUUUGAAAGGUCAGCUUGUCACUCUUCGAGAUGUUUGAUUUGGGCUGAGGCAGUGGAUAGCUAUUCAGAAUAAUGGGCAAGUCUGGUUGGUUAUUACGAUAUUGUUGUAUAAGUAUGUCUUGUAUGUAAUGAAAUGUUGUCGAUGAACCGAAAUGGAUAUACUGUGUCAAAGUGUUAGGAGAUCUCUCUUAUUUGGGAUUUCAGAAUGUUAAGUCUAAUUUAUGGUGAUAUGAACUUGUGGUGAAUAGUUGGAGUUCUGAUUGUAUAAUUUAUUUAGCUUGUGGAUUUAUAAAUAUUGUUCAUGUUUGUCAAGUUGGCUUGGGUUGCCAUAAAUGUGAAUUAUCGAGUGAUGUGAUAUAUGAUUAUAAACUGCACAGGUUUUAUGGAUGUGAAUAUGAAUAGAAUGUUUUCAGUGUCCUCAAACGUUAGUUUGGAUCCUGGAUUGGUCUGUGACGAAAAUUUUAAAAAUCAUGGAUAUUUUGAGGGGCGUGACAGAGGUGGUAUCAGAGCAUUAUUUGAGGAUUACUGAAAUAUUUGAUAUGUUGACGUGCAAAAUAUAUUGAGGUCUAAUGAACUAUAGUGAUUGGUGGAAAUUUUCUUUGAUGUAUUUUAGGAAUCUGGGAUGAUGAGGACAUUUGGUCCUCCUAUUUCAUUGUUUCUGAUUAAUUAAGGGGAAUGAAAGGAUUGAUUGGGGAUAUUGAAUCAGAGUGGCGUAGCGGAAGCAUGGUGGACCUAAUUUCAUUGGUGGUAGAAAAAUGAAUGAUGCAAACAGAGAAGAUAUUUGAUGUACAAAAUUGUUUUGAUGAUCAAAAGAUUUCUUUUGCCACCUUAUAUUGGAAGUAGAGGCUGAUUAUUAUUGGCAACAAUGAAAAGAAUUUUUGGAGAUCAGUGACAAGAAUGAUAAGGACAAGUUUACCAAUAAGAAUAUGAUUGGAAAUGAAUCAGAAAGUAAUGACAAGAGGGUCAAGACAUUUGGAUUUGAAAAGGAAAGUCACCACCAAAGACUUAAUCAUGUGUGAAUUACAAGUUAAAUUAUGAAACAAGUUUGUGCUUUCGGGUGAUUGGAGUCUAUUUUGCUUGUAGAAAGUUGGAUCAUAAAAUAAAAGUUUGCCCUUUGAACAAGAAGAAAGAGUCACUGCCUCCUAAAUCAUCAGCCCAUGUAAGAGUGUAUGCUAUCACUGAAUAUGAUUCUGAAACUUCUGAAUUAGUGGCCAAAGGUAUUAUGCAUGUUUAUGAAAGAAUGCAAAUAUUUGUUCGAUCAUGGGUCCAAUCUACGAUUUGAUUCGUAAUAUUUUGCUUAUCACUUGGGUAUUCAACCUAGACCACUACAUUAUGUGCUAUAAGUAAAUACGAUCAUUGGAGAUUCUUUGAUAACGAAGUUGAAUCUGGUCCUCUUGUCUGAUUCUUAUUGGAGAACUUGAAUUUAUGCUGAUUUAGUUCUCCUAGAGAUUUGGAGUUAUGAUAUUAUACUUGGUAUGGAUUGGCCAUCUUCUUAUCAUACCAGUAUGGAUUGAUAUAUAACAAAUGAUCACUUUUUGUAUAUUUGAUCAGUCGAUCUUUUACUUUGAGAGUAUGGGACAUGAUUUAUCUCCUUGCCUAAUGUAUCCAGGAUGACUUGCUUGGAUUACCUCCAAAUGUGACUUUGCUUUUGAUUUGGUCCUUGGGAUAAUCCCAAUAUCUAAGCCUCUCUACAGAAAGAUAUCAUUUGAGUAAGUGGAAUUGGAAAAGCAACUACAAGGAUUGUUAAAUGAGGAUUUUAUUUAGCUUAAUAUUUCAUCAUGGGGUGCUCCGGUGUUAGUUAAAAGAAAUGUAUGGAACAUUGAGGCUUUGUAAUGAUUAUAGACAGUUGAAUUAGGUGACCAUCAAAAACGAGUAUUUUCUGAAGUAACGACUUGCUCGAUUAAUUACAGGGUACGCAAGUAUUUUUAGAAAUUGAUUGAAGGUCGGGUUACCGUCUAUUGAGGAUCAAGGAGGAGAAUAUUUCGGUCACUCGUGGAUAAUUAUGUAAUUGUAUUGUAUUGAUGAAACUAUUUAAGAGUAGGAGGAGGAAAUAAAGAUAUCAUAAUCUUCAUCUUUUCAUCGAUUGAGCUAUGAUCAAUUUAGAGGACUAAAUUUUCUUUUAAGGGGGGGAGAGUGUAAUAUCCCUCGCUUUUAAAAAUUAUUAAUAAAGAUUUAUAUGUAAAUUGGAGGACCUAUAUGUAAAUAUAGAAAUUACAAGGACUAAACUGCUAAGUUGCAAAAAAAAAAGAAAAAGGAAAAGGGAAGAGGAGAAGAAGAGAAGGAGAAGAAGAGGGAAAAGAGAGGCAGCUGCAGCAGCCAGGGCUGCAGCACCUCUGUUUCCCGCAGGUGGAAACAGAGGAGAGGAUGUGUGGGGCGUUGAGGAUGAAAAGGGAAGAAGAAGAAGAAGAAGAAGAAGAAGAAGAAGAAGAAGAAGAAGAUAGCUGCGGCAAGGCUGCAGCGAGGAGAUGUGUGGCCUUGGGGAGGAAAAGGGAAGAGGGGAAGAGGAGAAGAAGAAGAAGAGGAAGAGAAAGAGGUGUGAUACCUCUGUUUCCUGCAGAGGAAACAGAGGAGAGGGUGUGUGUGACGCCGGGGAAGAAGGGGCUGCAGCUGCGGCGAUGGCAGCUGCAGCUGGAAGAGAAGAAGAAGAGGAAGAUGAGCAGGGGAGGAGGGAGAGGUUGCGGCCGUGGCUGCGGCCGCGACUGCAGCAGUUGCAGCGGGGAGAGAAGAAGAAGAAAGGAAGGAGAAGGAAGAGGAGAAGGGAAAGAAGUAGCUGCGGCUGCGGUUGUGGCAGCUGCAGCUAUGGCAGGGAAAGAGGAAGAGAAAAAGGAAAGGAAGAAGAGAGAAAGGGAAGGAGAGGAAGAAGAGAGGAAGAGGAGAAGGGGUUGCGGCUACGGCGAUGGCAGCUGCAGCUGUGGCAGGGAAAGAGAAAAAGGAAAGGAAGAAGAAGAGAAAGGGAAGGAGAGGAAGAAGAGAGGAAGAGGAGAAGGGGCUGCGGCUGCGGUGAUGGCAGCUGCAGCUGUGGCUGGGAAAGAAGAGAAGGAAAGGAAGAAGAAGAGAAAGGGAAGGAGAGGAAGAAGAGAGGAAGAGGAGAAGGGGUGGCAGCUGCGGCGAUGGCAGCUGCAGUUGGAAGAGAAGAAGGAGAGGAAGAUGAGCAGGGGAGGAAGAAGAGGCUGCGAGUGUGGUGGCUGCGGCCGUGGCUGCGACUCCGGCUGCGGCUGCAACGUUGGCUGCGGUAGCUGCGGCAGCGGUGGUGGCUGCAGUAGCUGCAGUAGCUGCUUUUGGGAAAGAGAAAGAGUAGGAAUGAGAGAAGGGAAGAAGGAAAUAGUGCAGUGGAAGGGGGCUGUGGUUGUGACCGCAGUUGCGGUCGUGGCUGCGAUUGUGGCAGCGGCAGCGGCGGCGGCUGUGGCAGCUGUGUUUGGGAAAGAAAAAAAGAAGGAAUGAGAGUAAGAGAGAGCAGGUGACUGUGCCUCGAUGUUCGACACGUGGUGUAGUUGCGAAGAAAGGAAGAAAACGGGAGCACAAAACGAAACAGAGAGAGGACACGGAGGAAAAGUAGAAGGAUUUGGGCUGGCACCUUCCUUGGAUCUUCGGAUCGAAAUCUUUGAAAGGUCAGCUUGUCACUCUUCGAGAUGUUUGAUUUGGGCUGAGGCAGUGGAUAGCUAUUCAGAAUAAUGGGCAAGUCUGGUUGGUUAUUACGAUAUUGUUGUAUAAGUAUGUCUUGUAUGUAAUGAAAUGUUGUCGAUGAACCGAAAUGGAUAUACUGUGUCAAAGUGUUAGGAGAUCUCUCUUAUUUGGGAUUUCAGAAUGUUAAGUCUAAUUUAUGGUGAUAUGAACUUGUGGUGAAUAGUUGGAGUUCUGAUUGUAUAAUUUAUUUAGCUUGUGGAUUUAUAAAUAUUGUUCAUGUUUGUCAAGUUGGCUUGGGUUGCCAUAAAUGUGAAUUAUCGAGUGAUGUGAUA